CCAGAAGUCGCCGUGACACGAGCCGCGUUAGAACACCCAGUGCUGGGAGCCCCACUCACCGCUCAGACGGUGAGACAGGGACCCACCACUGAAACGUUCUACGUCAGACAGGGAGGAGGAGGCCCCCAAAGUGAGGGAGAGAGCAUGCCUGUUGUGCCAGCGAUCAGACACUGACCCGGACAUCUGCGAAGAGGAAACUUUGUGCCCACGAGUUCUGCCUGGUUUUGCCAACCAUUUCCUCAGCACCCCCUGGGUCAAGUAGGACUCCAGGGCUUUCUGCCAAGGAAUAUCCUAGAUGUAGUCUCCCGGGUGGCACAGAAGGGACAGGCUCUGCGCUCUGGUGUUUCAUCCCUCCAGUGCCCCCUCUGCAUUUAUCAGACAUUUAUCAAG